AAUCAUUUGGAGACCUUCAAGGCUGCAAUACUCCUUUAAAGAGCAAUAGAUGCCAUCCUUUGUCGAGCUUUCCCCAUUACUCUCAAGAGGGCCGCUCGAUAAUAGUAUUCAAGCUUGAAGCCAAUCUCCAUUCACUCUUUCAAAAAGCUAUGCUGGGCCUUCAUCGGCCACUUUAUCAGUAGCUGACGAUAGUAGAAGUGAUUCGACUAUCUCCACACCAUCAAGU
rnacentral:lncRNA from 1 species